AUUGAACGCUGGCGGCAGGCUUAACACAUGCAAGUCGAGCGAGCGGCGGACGGGUGAGUAAUGUCUGGGAAACUGCCUGAUGGAGGGGGAUAACUACUGGAAACGGUAGCUAAUACCGCAUACCAUCAGAUGUGCCCAGAUGGGAUUAGCGAGUAGGUGGGGUAAUGGCUCACCGAGGCGACGAUCUCUAGCUGGUCUGAGAGGAUGACCAGCCAAACUGGAACUGAGACACGGUCCAGACUCCUACGGGAGGCAGCAGUGGGGAAUAUUGCACAAUGGGGUCAAGCCUGAUGCAGCCAGGCCGCGUGUGUGAAGAAGGCCUUCGGGUUGUAAAGCACUUUCAGCGAGGAGGCGUUACUCGCAGAAGAAGCACCGGCUAACUCCGUGCCAGCAGCCGCGGUAAUUC
rnacentral:rRNA from 1 species